rnacentral:rRNA from 1 species
UAAUAUACUUGAGCAUUGACGUUAUCUACAGAAGAAGCACUGGCUAACUCUGUGCCAGCAGCCGCGGUAAUACAGAGAGUGCAAGCGUUAAUCGGAAUCACUGGGCGUAAAGCGCGCGUAGGUGGAUGUUUAAGUCGGAUGUGAAAGCCCUAGGCUUAACCUAGGAACUGCAUUCGAUACUGAAUAUCUCGAGUAUGGUAGAGGGAAGUGGAAUUUCCGGUGUAGCGGUGAAAUGCGUAGAUAUCGGAAAGAACACCAGUGGCGAAGGCGGCUUCCUGGACCAAUACUGACACUGAGGUGCGAAAGCGUGGGGAGCAAACAGGAUUAGAGACCCUGGUAGUCCACGCCGUCAACGAUGAGAACUAGCUGUUGGGAAGUUUACUUUCUAGUAGCGAAGCUAACGCGUUAAGUUCUCCGCCUGGGGAGUACGGCCGCAAGGUUAAAACUCAAAGAAAUGACGGGGCCCG